AGGAACAUGCAAAAACUUGAAUGGUAAUGCACACAUUCAAGAGAGAGAGAGAAGAAACUAGGGACUGAGAGUAAGAACUUGGCACUGAAGUUUCACAGACAUUUACUGAUCUGAGAUGAUUAGAAGAAUUUCUAUGGGCCGACAUAAAUAUUUUGCAGUCAGAUCAAAUCAAAAGAGAGAAAUUAUCACUGGUCGGACUCAUUAACUUCAGUUCAAGAAUUAAUUAAAUUUACGCAAUCUGUUUUUGAAGAUGAAAUAUAGCAAAAUUAAUUAAGACUUCAUGAACGACGUAGGAUAUUUUGCCCUUUUAAAUGCGAAGAAAAUUGUCCAUAAGCAAACAUAAUAUAACACCUUAAGGCUUACUGAUCACACUGUGUACAUUUUCUAUUAGCUUUUUUCCUAUAGGAAUACAGACAGAGUGAAGUCUUUCUAUUUAUUUAUUGAUUGUUUUUUUU